UACAGAGGGGGCAAGCGUUAUUCGGAAUUAUUGGGCGUAAAGGGCGCGUAGGCGGCCUGGCAAGUGGAAGGUGAAAUCCCUCGGCUUAACCGAGGAACUGCCCUCCAAACUGCUUGGCUUGAGUCCGGGAGAGGUGAGUGGAAUUCCCAGUGUAGCGGUGAAAUGCGUAGAUAUUGGGAGGAACACCAGUGGCGAAGGCGGCUCACUGGACCGGAACUGACGCUGAUGCGCGAAAGCGUGGGGAGCGAACAGG
rnacentral:rRNA from 1 species